rnacentral:tRNA from 1 species
GGGGGCCUAGUUCAGAUGGUAGAGUGCUUGCUUAGCAUGCAGGAGGUACAGGGAUCAAUGCCCUGCGCGUCCA